AAUCGCAAAAGGGCCUGGCGCGUUUCUAAACUACAUUGUUUUAUGAUAAUUAAGAAUAAAAAGCUUCUCUUAUUAAUUAUAAGAUGUCUUCAAUAACUCAACUAUGUCGUUUGAGUAAUUUAACAAUAAGCAGUUACAAAUGUGUUCUGCAAGGAAGAACUAGUUGGGUUAAUAAAGUGCAAAUAUGCAACUACACGAAGAAGUCAGCAGAACAAAAACUAGGCAUAGAGAGACCAAAACGGCCUCUAACUCCAUUUUUCAAGUUUAUGACACAAAUGAGACCGGCGCUGCUAGCCAAGAACCCCGGUAUUACUUCCAAGGAAGCAAUCGCAUGGAGCUCCAAGCACUGGCAACAGUUAGAUUUAGAGACUAAGGCUCAAAUGACAAAAGAAUAUGAGAAAGACUUGGAAGAUUAUAAGAAGAUAAAAGCUAUGUACGAGUCUUCAUUGACUGACGAGCAGAAAGCUGACAUCCAGCGGGUCAAGGAGGAAAUGGCAGCUGCCAAGGAAAAGAGGAAAUUGAAAGCUGAAUACAAAGAACUAGGAAAGCCAAAGAAACCAAUGUCUUCCUAUUUUCUAUACAUCCAGUCUAGAAAAGAUUCAUUCAAGGGCAAACAAAUGAAGGAAUAUCAAGAGAAAGCAAAAGUUGACUGGCAGAAAUUGCAAGAAAGUGAAAAGGCUAAGUUUGAAAAGCAAGCAGCGGAACUUAUGAAUAAAUACAGAAAAGACUUGGAAGCAUGGGAGUUGAAGAUGAUUUCCCAAGGACGCUCAGACCUUGUGCGUACCAAGCCUGUACGAGAAAAGAAGCCAGCAAAUGCCAAGAAAUCACAAUAGGAACUCGGGUGCUCCGAUAACUUGACUGACUUGAAUUUCACAGAAAAAAUAGAUGUCAUAAGUGAAGAAAGUAAAUCAGAUACACAACAUAAAAAACCACUUAUAAUAGAGUCAACUCCAGUAUCGAAAAUGGAACAGAAAAGUAUUAACAAGCCAGAGUCAGAAGAGUUACGGAGCACGGGUGACAGCCACAUACAUUCUAAUCAAAAUAAGCCUGAUAGCAAGGACAAGGAGCCAACUGCACUCUGGGUGACCAUAAGAGCCUGGAAAUGAUUGAAAAUUGGUGAAUAUGGAUUGGAAUACCCUGCCCUUUCAAGUAAAAAUGCAAUCGAAAUAUUACAAAUAUUUUAUUUUAAAAGAUGCAUUACAAAAUAUUAAAAUAAAUACUUUUCUAUUGUUUGACCUUUUUAGUACAACUUGAAUUAAGCUGACCGGUGGAAUAUUAAGUUUUUCUUAAUGUAAUGUAUAAUAUUAAUAUAAGAAAUGCAGUAAUAGUAUUACAUACCAAUUACAGGCUAUCAAAAUAUACUGCUAAAUGCUAAUAUUGGUUUUUUGAAGUGUCAAGUAAUAAAAAGGCAUUGUAAAAUUAAUUAUAAUUGUAUAAAUUACAGGGUUUCUGUAACUUCCUUUACUUUUUAAUUUGUACAUUAAAAGUUCAGCUUAAUUCUUUGUUGUUAAACCUUCUAUACUAGUAAAUUAGGUAUCAAAUAGUAAUUUUUGAUCCUGAAGUUAGAUAGUAAAUGUAGUAGUAUUAAUAAGCGGUUAUUAGAAACACCAACAAAACUACAUUGACAUUGCACAGACAGAAAGUAACCAGUAAGUUAUAAUGAACUUUCUGUUGCUAUAGUUGCAUGUUUUAUGUCCCAUUCCCACUACAAUUUAACAUUUUAACAAGUCACAAACUGCCAUCAUAUUAAAUAUUUCCAAAUUAAUUAUUAUUGCUAUUUCCAAAUAGUCUAGUGUUACAUACAUCAAAAUUGGAAAAAAACUAGCAAUUACAAUUGAUAACAUUUAAGGCCAUCAAUCAAUUCAGGCCGAACUUAAUUAUUUACAAAUUUUUUCACCUCUGCAUUCAAGAUAUGAAAAUAGUUUAUGAUAUUGGAAAGCUAGUAUAACCAAGCUCAUUGACAUGACAAAGAUGAAAUUUGAAUGUUAUGAAAUGACAUGAGAGGGUAUACUAGCCUAGAUGUGAUUUGCAGUACAAGUUGCUAAUUUGGCCUCCACACAUUAGUAAUUCAUAGGUAUGUUUAUAAUAAAUAUAUCAGAAUAUAAUCGUAAUUAUAAUAAGUAUAAAAAAUACAAUAUUUUAAAUGCAUUAGUGUAGUGUAGACACAAAAA